rnacentral:rRNA from 1 species
UGGGGAAUCUUGCACAAUGGGGGCAACCCUGAUGCAGCGACGCCGCGUGAGCGAUGAAGCCCUUCGGGGCGUAAAGCUCUUUCGACCGGAACGAUAAUGACGGUACCGGGAGAAGAAGCUGCGGCUAACUACGUGCCAGCAGCCGCGGUAAUACGUAGGCAGCAAGCGUUGUUCGGAGUUACUGGGCGUAAAGAGUGCGUAGGCGGUUUUCUAAGUUCGGUGUGAAAUCUCCCGGCUUAACUGGGAGGGUGCGCCGAAGACUGGGAUGCUGGAGUGUGUGAAAGGCAGGCGGAAUUCCUGGUGUAGCGGUGAAAUGCGUAGAUAUCAGGAGGAACACCGGCGGUGUAGACGGCUUGCUAGACCAUAACUGACGCUGAGGCACGAAAGCGUGGGUAGCAAACA